rnacentral:tRNA from 1 species
AUUUAAAUAGUUUAAUAAAAAUAAAGAAUUGUGGUUUCUUAGAUAUAUUUAUAUUUUAAAUU